GACGAACGCUGGCGGCGUGCCUAAUACAUGCAAGUCGAGCGAAGUUUUUCUGGUGCUUGCACUAGAAAAACUUAGCGGCGAACGGGUGAGUAACACGUAAAGAACCUGCCUCAUAGACUGGGACAACUAUUGGAAACGAUAGCUAAUACCGGAUAACAGUAUUUCUCGCAUGAGAGAUAUUUAAAAGUUGGUUAUGCUAACACUAUGAGAUGGCUUUGCGGUGCAUUAGCUAGUUGGUGGGGUAAAGGCCCACCAAGGCGACGACGCAUAGCCGACCCGAGAGGGUGAUCGGCCACACUGGGACUGAGACACGGCCCAGACUCCUACGGGAGGCAGCAGUAGGGAAUCUUCCGCAAUGGGCGAAAGCCUGACGGAGCAACGCCGCGUGAGUGAAGAAGGAUUUCGGUUCGUAAAGCUCUGUUGUUAGGGAAGAAUGGAUAUGUAGUAACUAUACAUGUAAGGGACGGUACCUAACCAGAAAGCCACGGCUAACUACGUG
rnacentral:rRNA from 1 species